rnacentral:rRNA from 1 species
UACGUAGGGUGCAAGCGUUGUCCGGAAUUACUGGGCGUAAAGCGUGCGCAGGCGGUUUUGUAAGUCAGAGUGAAAUCCCCGGGCUUAACCUGGGAAUGCGUUUGAAACUACAAGGCUAGAGUGUGGCAGAGGGGGGUGGAAUUCCACGUGUAGCAGUGAAAUGCGUAGAGAUGUGGAGGAACACCGAUGGCGAAGGCAGCCCCCUGGGUUAACACUGACGCUCAGGCACGAAAGCGUGGGGAGCAAACAGG